rnacentral:rRNA from 1 species
AGUGAACGCUGGCGGCGUGCCUAACACAUGCAAGUCGAACGAUGAAGUCCUUCGGGAUGGAUUAGUGGCGCACGGGUGAGUAUACCAUAGAUAAUGUACCUCCUAGUUUGGGAUAGUCACUGGAAACGGUGAUUAAUACCAGAUACUCCUCCUUGUCUUAAGGCAAGUCGAGAAAGCUUUUUCGCUAAGAGAUCAGUCUAUGUCCUAUCAGCUAGUUGGUGAGGUAAUGGCUCACCAAGGCUAUGACGGGUAUCUGGUUUGAGAGGAUGAUCAGACACACUGGAACUGAGACACGGUCCAGACUCCUACGGGAGGCAGCAGUGAGGAAUAUUGCACAAUGGAGGAAACUCUGAUGCAGCAACGCCGCGUGGAGGAUGACGCAUUUCGGUGUGUAAACUCCUUUUAAGAGGGAAGAUUAUGACGGUACCUCUUGAAUAAGCACCGGCUAACUCCGUGCCAGCCGCCGCCGUAA